UCUUGGGAUGAUAACGUAUGUCAU
rnacentral:siRNA from 1 species